CUCUCUCUAAUUUCCGCUCAAAGCCAGGAAAAAACCCAGUGCUCUAGCCGUUCUCCUCUUCUCCCUCUCUCUCUUUGUGCGCGCUCUGGAUUACGUGUAUGACCAAGCCCUAGUUUCUUUUGCUCAGAUAUCGAGUAAACGCGAAGGAGAGCCAUGAGUAAAGCCCUAGUUUUUUUUUUUUUUUUUUCAGAUUUGGUAUUCUCUUUUCAUUACGUUUCUCACUCUUCCUCGUCCUCACUACAAACCGCAAGCUCUCCUCCAAAAAGAAGAGAGAACACUGAAUCAAACUCUUCAGGGAUGGUGCCAUGGUGUGGUGAAGCUGGGGCUGGUAGGGCUGGGUGAAGGUGGGUGGUCGACUUAGGGUUCAUUGUUUUGAUUUUGCAGAUUGAUUUGGUACUUUUCAUUCUCGUGCAGAGAAAAUUUCCCCACAGCUCGAAAAUUUUCCUCUGGUGCUAAGCAAU